rnacentral:piRNA from 1 species
GUAGCUUUUGCGACUAGCGACUGG